ACAAAACCCAGGCAAUCAGGAGUAAAAAACCCAAAAUUUGGAAUAUUCUGCCAUCAAAGCGUUCAUAUUUUAUCUUGCCAAUGAGAAGAAAUUUGUAUGUGCAUAUGUUAUUUCCUCCAAUAGAACAUAAACUCCUUCUUGUGAUGGAGAGAACCAUCUGCACCAGAGAGAAGACUGUGGGGACUGAGUGUGGAUCACACAUAGUAUUUCCACCUUUUUUUUGUUGUUGUUUGCUAGCUUUUUGUUUUAUUUCUCAUUUUUUUUUCUUCUUUGAUCUGAUUUUUGUGACAUGAUAAUUGUGGAAAC
rnacentral:lncRNA from 1 species